CUGCAUCUUUCAAAGCAUUGGAGAGAGAUCACGGUUUUCGGAUUAAAAGCCACAGACUCCACUGCCUGAAGCAGAACAGGACAGACGCUCCCGUAGGACGCCGGACCUGCUUCUGACUCAUCCGUUCUGUGACCGUGAUCCACCAGGGGUGCCUGCAGCAGCCAGUCACCCUGACCAGGCCAGCACCUGCGUCCCCCGGUGCUGGGAGCUGAGCCCUUCUCCGGAGUGACCAGCAGCUGCCUCACCUGGUGGUGCAGGGAUUGCGCCGUCCCCAAGAGAUGAGGUUCAGCCGAUGAUGGACACCAUGCGAAAGGCCACAGCCUUGCUUCCAGGUGGGACACUGCCGUGGGGCUGUUCACAUUCUAGACCUCCCUGUGGCCUGAACCCACAUGCGCAUCAAGCUUCUCCCUGCACCCCUGAUAGAUUUCACCUGCGUGUGCCGUCUGGCUAGAACCGCACGAGAAUCCCCAGCUCAGGCUCUGCUUCCCAGGACACCAACCUAAGUGGCACAUCUUUCUCAUGUGGAUUUCCAAUCUAAGAAGAAAAUUCCACGCCAGGUUUCCAGAAGUUUCAACACUAGGAGAUUAAUCUCAAUGUGCAUGAGGCCUUUUCAGUUCCAUGGAAGACAAUUCCAAGUUUAAAAACUGGGCAAAGCCAUGAGGACUGUUUUUCCUGUGCAGAAAGGUUAAAGAAAAGCAGAUGUGGAAUGAGCUCCAAUCUCUUGUCUCACACUGUGCUGUUUGUCAGGGAAUGUUAACUCUUGAACACACGUGCACAAGAAUGUUGAAGAAGUAAUUGCAGCAGUCAUUAAACUUACCUGUCAUGUCUUUCUGUUAAUGGAAACAAGUGCACUAAAUCACCUGAGCACAGUUCUGACAAGCGACCUCCCUGGCCCCGUUCUCUGGUGUCUGCGGCACACGCUCUCUGGUCCAUUGUCUCUCAUCAGCGAUUUCCCUUUCUCUCUCCUCACACACUGUAAAGGUGGGUGUCCCCAGAUUUCUGUCCUUGGGCCUUUUGUUGUUUCCCCUUUAUAUUCUCCCCUGGUAACGUAUUUAAAGUGUGAGAGGAAACUAUCUGGAGUGAUUUUUCCAGAUCUUUCCAUUUCACUCGGGAGUGUGAAAUUUCUCAGGGUUCCCCACAAACCCAGCAGUGCCCUCACACAGAAUGAUCACACGGGAGGCCCACUCUCAUCAGUGAGCGCGACAGCAGGAAAUGCCACUGAGAUGAAAUGAUGUUUGCACGUAAUUCCCAGACCACCAUGUGACUACCCACCUGGUGUGUGGACAAAGCUUGUUCUCCACAGUUCACGUGCUGCCUGUUACGUGCGUAAGACAGUUGUUAGACACAUUUGGCCCAAGGAUGUGUGUUUCUAGCCUGUGUCAAGACUUCAAAUUACAAUUGACCCUUGAACAGCACAGGGUUGAACCAUGUGGGUCAACAUAUACACGGAUUUUCUUCUGCCUCUGCCCCCCCUGAGACAGCAAGACCAGCCCUUCCUCUUCCUGCUCCUCCUCCUCUGCCUACUCAACUGAAGAUAUGGGGAUGAAGACCUUUAAGAUGAUCCACUUCCACUUAAUGAACAAGGUCUGUACGUCCAAGCCUGCAGGAUGUACCUUGCGGCGCUUUCGGAGGUGACGCUGCUCCCUUCCUGGUCUGGGCUGGCCGCGGACGCGCUUUGGCCAGUGAGUGUGAAUGCAAGUGACACACGCACAUCCCAGCAGAAGCUUUACAUCAGUUGUGUGAUUUCACCUGGUCCGGUGAGUGUCUGCCCCUGGCACAGAAACGUCCAGAGGGGCCUGUUCCUCCAGCCUGGAUCCCGGAACGAGAAGCAUGAAGCGGACCUGCUGACCACGGCCUGGGGCAGAGCCGCAGCCAGCCAUGAAGAACCGGGAAGGCUCUCGCGCUUCACCUUCGUUCAAGCCAACGUACGAACUGGCCAGUUUCACGGACGCUGACAGAAGCCUCUUGGGUCAGAGACAAAAGACUUUAUUGCAGCAAAAGCGGUAGCCAGAACGUCAGCGGGGUUUGUGUUGCUUCUGUCCCCACAGCGGCGAAGUGAACCGGCCCAGGUGGCCGCCUGAACAAACUGUGGGUGCAUUACAGGAAAGGGACCCGGAGCUGGGAACCGACCGCUUCACAGCAAGUAGCGAGUGAGCCUGCCCUUGGCCGCAGCGGUGGAAGUCACCUUCUCCCUCCAGACUGCUCGCUGUGGGCACAGCCCUGAGCAAAGGCUGGGUGGGAAACGGGCAGGCUCUGGCUUGCUUAACACACCCAGCAACACGCGCAGGAACAUGCGACAGCCAUGCAGGAGUGUCCCCCAGCACCAACCCUCAGCCCACGCGCAACCUUAGCGAGAAAUAAAUGUAAGCCGCUGUGACAUGAGAGUGGUUUUGUUACACGGCAAAGUUACAGCUAGCACAGAGAAAAAUCAAUUGAUAUUUGUGUAUUUAUCUUACAUCUUGCCACCUUACCUAAUUCUCUUACUUUAAAAAAUAAUUCAAUACAGUUUCUUGGGUUUUCUAGGUAUAAUGUCUCCUGCAAAUAAAGUGAAUUUUCUUUUUUCCUAGUAUUUAUGUUAUUACUUAUAAUUUGGGUUUUCUUUAACCUUCUGUAUUAGCCUAAAUCUCCAAAACAAUUUUGAAUAAUAAUGAUGAUAGUAAAUAUGUCAUUUAUUAAGUUUUGUCUUAGUUACAAACCUACCCUUUGGUACUCUGCCUGGGCUGGAGCUCUGCAAACGUAUGUUUGCUUUGUAAGUUGGCUUCCCAUUAAACUCUGCUGAUAGCAGCACUCGGGGGGUGGGGAUCGCAGGCUGCAGAAGGAAGAGGGAAAUUAUCCUUUCCUGUUUGUUUUCUGAGGGCUUCCUGUUUGCUCCCUCUGUUUAAGAGAGGCAUCCCGCCAAUGCUGCUUCAUCUUGGCAGCAGCAAUUCCGUCCUAGCAACAGGUGAACCCAAUUAAUAGCGUUUCGAACAUUUGCAGAACCCUCCUCAUUGCAGCCCCCUCAGACACUAGCAGCAUCCUCUGCUCUGAGGUCUGAAUUUCGUUUCUAAGAGAGCCCUUCGCCAAGCUCCUAAGUUUCACAAAAUCCAACCUCUCUUCUUGAUCUCUUCCAAUCACAGCAAAUUAGCUGCUUUCUGCAGCUGCUCCGUCUGUGACCCCGAGUUCUCCUUUUGU